rnacentral:tRNA from 1 species
GAUCUGAUGGUCUAGUGGUAAGACACCGCUUCUCAACUUCCGAUUUUGGGCACUCGUGCACUCAAACCCCUUGGAUACUCGUGGGUUUGCGGAUGAGAAUCAGCGGAGAUCUCCAGUUCGAUCCUGGAUCAGACCA